CUUUCCUGUUGUUGAGCACACCACAAGGAGGUCAUGCCCCAGACAGCUGCUGUCCCUUCCGGGUGGGUCCGGACGAGACGUGGAGAAACCUGAGCCCAGCCUGGGGUCUGGGGCUCCUGACCCACAGCCUGAGGCCACGCUGUCCAGUCAACCCACUGAGCCAGGUCAUUUCUCGUGGUGACUGGAGAAAGCUCUCUACAGAAACGCCUGUCAUCCAUGCCUUCACCUACGCGAGAGCAUCCUCUGCUCCCUAGACCACACCAGGACAGUUCUGCACGGACCUAAGGAGCUCACAGCCCAGCCCCCUCCCCGGGGAAAUCUCUGCACUCCGGACUGGUAAUUUCCAGGGCAUGGUCUGCCUUUCUCAGCUUCGUGGGAAGCACCUUUGGUUCAGCCUCGCUGGUGAGGGUGGAGGCUGCCUCCCGUCCCCUCCUUGUUCACCAGCAGGCGUCAGCAGGGCUGCUAUUGGACCCCUUUAGACCAAGGCGCAACCUGGCUCCUCUGUUCUCAACAGGAUCAGAAAUGUCACGCAGGUCGUAUCUGGAGUGGUUCUCUUUUUCCCUUUUGUGGAGGGUUAGAGUGGUAUUCACACCUAGGCACGUCUACGUCUGAAAUCUGUGAUAGACUGAAUGUGUCUCCCUCCCAAAUUCAAGUGCUAACCCUCGGACCCCAGAAUGUGAUUGCAUUUGGAGACAGGGCCUUUAAGGAGGUGAUCGAGUUAAAUGAGGUCAUAUGUGUCCCCUAAUCCAUCGUGACUGGUCCUUAUUAGAGGAGAUGAGGACACUGACACAUGGGACGACGGCCACAGGAGGACACAGGGGAAGACGGCUGUCUACACAGCAAGGAGAGAGUCUGCAGGGGACACCAGUCCCGCCAAUACCUUGACCCUGGACUUCCAGCCUCCAGGACUGAGAGAGAACAGCUGAACAGAUUCAGAGGUCCACUACGUGGCACGUAGCAGCCAUUCAUUCACUCACUGUGCCUGCUCCCUUGAGCCUGGCUGUAAUCUGGCUGAUAACAUUCAUUCAUUCAUUCAUUCAUUCAUUCAUCAGGGGUGCAAUGCUGCAGGUGAAAUUGAUGCAGACCCAGGCUUCAGACCUGUUCUCCUAGACUGCAGUGGUGCGAUGACAGCUCACUGCAGCCUUGACCUCUGGGUUCAAGAGAUCCUCCUGCCUCAGCCUCCCAAGUAGCUGGCACACGCCACCACACCUGGCUAUUUUCUUUUAAUUUUUUAUUUGUUUGUAGGGACAGGGUCUCACCAUGUUGCCCAGGCUGGUCUCCAACUCCUGGGCUCAAGCGAAUCUCCCACUUCAGCCUCCCACAGUGCUGGGAUUACAGGUGUGAGCCACCAUGCCUGGCCUAGUUUGGGUAACUUUGAGUCACCUGAAGAGUCAGCCUCAGCCCCAGAGGGUUCUCCCUUCCCCAGGGUGCUGUGUUUGCAUGGGAGCACAGAACCAUUGCCCCUGCAGGGCUUUUCAGUGGAACCGAGUGUCCCCACACGAGCUUUGUCUCCGGAUGCACACGAGGAGAUUCUGCAGCACAGUGGAGCCGAUUAAGCCAUUACAGCUUUCCAGAGGGAAAAGAAAAUUUAGGACGUGUAGAAACUAAGUCUUUGCCCACAAUCAAGUUUCCAUUCAAAUUAUGAGAAGGAAGUGAUUGAAUGAGAAUGAGAUGACCUUCCCCUUCCCCCAUGGAUUUUCCUCCCUCUGGCUCUCUCUGCUCCUGACACGAGCACUGCACCAAGGCGACAGCCCUGGGCACCCAGGCUGACUCCUGCACUCGGGCACGGACCUCACGGCUGGGCUGACUCCCGCACUCGGGCGCUGAGCUCAUGGCCGGUUCUGAAGAACUCUGGUUCUGCUCAUGCCCCACAUCAAAAUGGCCAAGUCUUCAGAUUUGGGAUUUCCCAAGCCAAAAGUAUUUUCAUAGAAUUGUAUUUCAAUAUUUACAUUAUCUUUAAAGAAAGUCCAGCUAAAAAUCAAAAAUAAAUAAAAAUGUAAAAAAUAAAACAAUCCCAGAGAGAAGUGGGGUCUACUUGAAUGCAAUGCAACAUGAAGUGGACAUCU
rnacentral:lncRNA from 10 species